GAUGAACGCUGGCGGCGUGCCUAAUACAUGCAAGUCGAGCGAACAGACGAGGAGCUUGCUCCUCUGACGUUAGCGGCGGACGGGUGAGUAACACGUGGAUAACCUACCUAUAAGACUGGGAUAACUUCGGGAAACCGGAGCUAAUACCGGAUAAUAUAUUGAACCGCAUGGUUCAAUAGUGAAAGACGGUUUUGCUGUCACUUAUAGAUGGAUCCGCGCCGCAUUAGCUAGUUGGUAAGGUAACGGCUUACCAAGGCAACGAUGCGUAGCCGACCUGAGAGGGGGAUCGGCCACACUGGAACUGAGACACGGUCCAGACUCCUACGGGAGGCCGCAGUAGGGAAUCUUCCGCAAUGGGCGAAAGCCUGACGGAGCAACGCCGCGUGAGUGAUGAAGGUCUUCGGAUCGUAAAACUCUGUUAUUAGGGAAGAACAAAUGUGUAAGUAACUAUGCACGUCUUGACGGUACCUAAUCAGAAAGCCACGGCUAACUACGUG
rnacentral:rRNA from 1 species